rnacentral:rRNA from 1 species
CGAAUGCUGACAUAAGUAACGAUAAAGCGGGUGAAAAGCCCGCUCGCCGGAAGACCAAGGGUUCCUGUCCAACGUUAAUCGGGGCAGGGUGAGUCGACCCCUAAGGCGAGGCCGAAAGGCGUAGUCGAUGGGAAACAGGUUAAUAUUCCUGUACUUGGUGUUACUGCGAAGGGGGGACGGAGAAGGCUAUGUUGGCCGGGCGACGGUUGUCCCGGUUUAAGCGUGUAGGCUGGUUUUCCAGGCAAAUCCGGAAAAUCAAGGCUGAGGCGUGAUGACGAGGCACUACGGUGCUGAAGCAACAAAUGCCCUGCUUCCAGGAAAAGCCUCUAAGCAUCAGGUAACAUCAAAUCGUACCCCAAACCGACACAGGUGGUCAGGUAGAGAAUACCAAGGCGCUUGAGAGAACUCGGGUGAAGGAACUAGGCAAAAUGGUGCCGUAACUUCGGGAGAAGGCACGCUGAUAUGUAGGUGAAGUCCCUCGCGGAUGGAGCUGAAAUCAGUCGAAGAUACCAGCUGGCUGCAACUGUUUAUUAAAAACACAGCACUGUGCAAACACGAAAGUGGACGUAUACGGUGUGACGCCUGCCCGGUGCCGGAAGGUUAAUUGAUGGGGUCAGCGCAAGCGAAGCUCUUGAUCGAAGCCCCGGUAAACGGCGGCCGUAACUAUAACGGUCCUAAGGUAGCGAAAUUCCUUGUCGGGUAAGUUCCGACCUGCACGAAUGGCGUAAUGAUGGCCAGGCUGUCUCCACCCGAGACUCAGUGAAAUUGAACUCGCUGUGAAGAUGCAGUGUACCCGCGGCAAGACGGAAAGACCCCGUGAACCUUUACUAUAGCUUGACACUGAACAUUGAGCCUUGAUGUGUAGGAUAGGUGGGAGGCUUUGAAGUGUGGACGCCAGUCUGCAUGGAGCCGACCUUGAAAUACCACCCUUUAAUGUUUGAUGUUCUAACGUGGACCCGUGAUCCGGGUUGCGGACAGUGUCUGGUGGGUAGUUUGACUGGGGCGGUCUCCUCCUAAAGAGUAACGGAGGAGCACGAAGGUUGGCUAAUCCUGGUCGGACAUCAGGAGGUUAGUGCAAUGGCAUAAGCCAGCUUGACUGCGAGCGUGACGGCGCGAGCAGGUGCGAAAGCAGGUCAUAGUGAUCCGGUGGUUCUGAAUGGAAGGGCCAUCGCUCAACGGAUAAAAGGUACUCCGGGGAUAACAGGCUGAUACCGCCCAAGAGUUCAUAUCGACGGCGGUGUUUGGCACCUCGAUGUCGGCUCAU